rnacentral:rRNA from 1 species
CCUACGGGUGGCAGCAGUGGGGAAUAUUGGGCAAUGGGCGCAAGCCUGACGCAGCAACGCCGCGUGGAGGAAGAAGGCUUUCGGGUUGUAAACUCCUUUUCUCAGGGACGAAGAAAGUGACGGUACCCGAGGAAUAAGCCACGGACAACUACGUGCCAGCCGCCGCGGUAAUACGUAGGUGGCAAGCGUUCUCCGGAGGUACUGGGUGUAAAGGGCGUGUAGGCGGGGGCGCAAGUCAGAUGUGAAAACCACGGGCUCAACCUGUGGACUGCAUUUGAAACUGUUUUUCUUGAGUGCGGGAGAGGCAGGCGGAAUUCCUGGUGUAGCGGUGAAAUGCGUAGAGAUUAGGAGGAACACUAGUGGCGAAGGCGGCCUGCUGGACAGCAACUGACGCUGAGGCGCGAAAGCGUGGGGAGCAAACAGGAUUAGAUACCCUGGUAGUC